UUUCUGUUUGUGCUGGUGCCAGGAAAUAAUAAUAACAAUAACAGCAAUAACAACAACAACAACAACAACAAUAAUAAUCAUGACUAUUUAUUAUUACACACACGCCUCCUCCCGAUGGAGGAGUUCGUGACAUUUACAUUCAUACGCACAAGUAAACUCAUAAAUUUAAACGAAUUUUUACCGACCAAAUUUUUUUUUCAUUUUCUCAUUCUUUGGACAUGCAUGAAGGAUUAUGUUGGACACUUGAAGGCCUGAACGGUGCACAAAAGUGCACAGCAACGAUUUUUUUUCCACACACGUCACGCUUAUCAACAGCCGACAGCGCUCCGGAAGUGGUCCGCCCUGGGUUUGGGGUGAAGGUCACAUGCAUGAAUAAUUCUCGAAAGUCCUCCGAGGGUAGUGGACUAGAAGCAUGCACGUGUCUGUCUUGUCACAUACUCGUAUGUGUUCUGUCUUUCCCCUCAUGGAGGUUCCUUGCUCGUUCCCCAGAAUCCCCCCGUCACAGAUUCAUCAUCAGGACACGUCGAUGUUUAAUGUCAAUGAACAUGCUCAAAACACUUUCUCGAAAUACUUCCUGCAUUAUUACCCUCCACGUGUACACAUUUUAACACUUUGUGAACAGGGUAGAAUAAUAAACAUCCAAGGGCAUAUCUACAAACUUCAAAAACACUCUAGAGAAAUGUUUGCGACUCUCGACAUCAUCGAACUGCUCACAAAAAAUGUACCCACACUUCAAAAGCUCGACAACCACUCACUCAAACUGCUGCCAAAAGCUUUUGCCAGCAGGGCUUAGAAAUCUUAAUUAUAUCUCGCUUAAUAAUCCCGAUAUUGCCUGGGUGUAAAUAUUGUCCUCGCUCCACUACCCGCGUGUCUACCUGUCAACUCUCGUGACUCCAAGGACGAGCGCGAGUUAAAAAUGUCGAGGACUAGUAGCAACACGUCUAUUGUCAACACCUAGAAUAACUAACUAAAUACAUACAUAAAUAUACAAAUAAAAAAUAAAUAAAAUGACAACCAACGGAAAAUACGAUGUAAUACUCGUAAAAGUGACAUCCUCCCUCCACACCAGCCUUGACCUCUGACCCGUUGUGAAAUCUUUCCCCAGUCAGACCUGUUUGCGAGGUGUUGUUCACAACAUUCAUAGAUGAAACAAUAAUAAUAGGAGGCAGCAUGUGCGCAAUUUGUUCGCAUGUCGCCCAUGCGUGCGACACCACACUACCUACGUGUCACGACGCGUCGCACGUGCAGUUUGUUUCCGUCUUCGCCGCCAUUUUGCGUAGUUUCUCGACUCGUUUGUUACAUACAACGAGAAACAUGUCAACACCAUACUGUUGUUCCUCAACUAUUUUGGACGCAGUCCCUGAACACCUCAGCUGUUGGCAAGACUGAUGGCACGAGUAUCUGGGGUGGGUCGGGUGGGCUGGGUGGAUGGAUGGAUGCAGCUUCCUCAAAGCUCGCAGACUUCUCGGGGUUGAAGCAAAUCGAAGAUGUAGGUGAGGUGUUUUAUUGCCAUAUUUUUUUUAAUCGCUCCACUUCAUAAGGGGCAUUACACUUGGCGCAUAUCCAGGACAUCAGCUGAUAGUGAGGAUGUAAACACCGCGAGUCAAGGAGACAAGGGGGCGCUGCGCCGUGACGUCACGCCCCGUGUUUAUGUGCACGCACACGCGCAGCACGAGAACGAGUGCACUCCUCCUGCCCACGAUCGAUGGGGUUUCCCAGCGUUCGUCAGCAGCCAACUGCAAUUAAAAAUAAAAACAAAAGAGUUGGGAAUAGAAGGAAAGAAGGAACCUGUAAACAGGAAGGAGAGAAGAAGCAGAAGGCCGGCCAGCGAGCGGCGUGGAGAUAUUGAUCAGGCGAGCAGGACAAACAGCAAUGAAGGUGGGACUGUAAUUGAGGACUUUUUAUAUUUUUAUGUGUUUAAGUGAACGUGUUUACGAUGUCGCCUGAUGUAAGCGGUUUGUACACGUCAUCGAUGCCUUACUUCUGCAGCUGAUGGUGGAGUCUGAAAUAGAAUGCGCGCACACGUGUGCUUGUGUGUCUGUGUGUGUGUAUAUAAAUAAAAAUAUCUGUGCAUCUAUCUGUUGGUAUACGUGUGUAUUUAGGUAUAUUUAUACAUAUGAGAACGUGCUUACAAGUAACAAAGUGUGUUGUGGGUUUGUGUGAAUGCUGGUGUCACGCACGAACAAGUGUGUAUGCGUGUGUGUGUCCUGAGCGCAAGAAAGUGGGUUGUGAAUGCCACGAAGACUAUCAAUGUCGGAGGAGACCUUGAAGGCGCACAUUAAUAAUAAAAAAAACCUGCUGUGUGAAGGGCUGAAGGACAGUAAAAAAAAGAACUAAUUUUACACAACGCCAUGUGCUGUCCGCAAUCCAGGACAAGAGGGCAUCUCAGUGCGGGGGUGGGGAUGUGUGGGGAGGAGGAGGAGGAGGAUGGCGAACUGAACAAAUGGCAACAGGGAUCGACACCUGGUGACACGUCAUAGUCACGUAACUGAAGUCGCUGGUCACGAACCAGUUUGGACUCACAGACCCUAGUCACGACCACGAUGGUGGAGGUCAUCGGGAUGUACAAACCCCCGACCUCUCCUCUCUCCCUCCUCACCACUCCCCAGUCUCUCUCUCAUCAGCUACAGACGCACCUUCGUCUAAUGGCGGACUAAUGACCUUCAGCGCACCUGCUAAACACCUUCACGUAUACACAUCUGUUUGCGCAGUCAACAAGGAGGGUAGACGGGGGAAUGGGGGGUUAGGGAGGGAGACAACUGGACAUCAAUAAGUUUUUUAUUUUACUCACGAUUCGUCAGCAAGCUUUCUCUCUCUCCUCCACUCCCAAGACACACCCAACAGAUUUAUACCUUUUGGAGAGAGAGAUUUGCUUCCUAUAUUUUCAUUCUGGCGGAAACAUGCGCACGAGUAAGUCUGUCGUUGUGUCGUGUCAGCAAGAAGGAGAUGUUGUUUCUACCCCCGAGAUGUUUACAUGGGUUUUUUGCGCUGUUCCGUGUUUAUGUUAGUACUGACAUAUUUAAUCAACUAUUUUGGACGGUCUGGCGAAUAAACAGGUGCACUCUUCUUGUUGUAAUUUGUCAGGAAAACGUCGCCCACCUAAUGACUGUUACGUGGUAAACAUACAGUCGUUACUUGGAUUCUCGUCAAGGCUCGGUUUGAGGGUUGGUGGAUUAAUGCGUAAUUUAUUUAAUACUGGAGGUUCAUGAUUUCAUCCGUAAAUACACUGAUCUGAGAUGCUGAUAUGUGGCUACGGACUUGUCACGUGGACCAAAUGGGAUGUAAGAUCCUUUGAUUGAUGCGCGACUUUCAUCAAAAGACUAGUUUCAUUCCGCUUCACGAAUAAGACUAGCGAUGUGUAUAUGGACCUCAGAGGUGCACAUUACAUUUUUAGGGUGACUACAAAAAGCAAAAAAAAAAAAUAAAAAUAAAAUAAACACUGUUUGUAAGUAAUGUCAGGUGCAUGCUGUCUCUCCAGGCAUCUCACAGGGCACAGUGCAAUGACUACAUUUUCCAGGCAGGUCACGUGACUUAGACACGACGACCACUUUCUUCGAGCAGGUCUUCCCCCGCGCCGUCCGGUCUGGAUUUGAUUUGUUUUGAACCCCUCGCUAAUUUACAUCUGGCCUUGAACAAUGGUUUGUGACCUUAACGGUUUAUUGCUUCCACGGACAGCAGUCAGGUUGGUGAUUAGAACAAACACGAAUAAACACUCUCUCAUACACGCACUCAAGCACGCAAGACACACAAACAGACAGACAGACAGACAGACAGACGGACGGACGGACAGUUGUUUUGCUAUUCGAGGGCUUACUCUCUCCCCUUUCCUUGUAGUGGGGGAGAACUUCUCACUCCUACAUCAAAUUAAAAGUGCUUGUAAGGUCGGAGGUCGUACACUGAGUGCAGCUCACCAGUUCAAAUAUACGGCUGUAAGUACAUGUAAGCAGCGAUGACAGCCCAUGGAGCUUUAACCUGUUCUACACACUCUCUGUAAUGCUGAUGAUAAUAGCAGCAUCACUGAUAAACUAAUUGAUGAACAUAACUUGGUGAUGACUCGGCAAAGUGUGCAAUGCUAAUGAUGAUGAUGAUGAUGAUGAUGAUGAUGAUGAUGAUGCUAAUGAUGAUUGUUAUUAUGUAUGUUAAUGUAGUAUCUCUGGUAGUACCUAGCCGUGGUCACAGGACAGUGGAGACUACUGGGGGCGUGGCCAGUCCACCCUGAUUAGUUAAUCAGGCCACAAUGCAAUCAGCGAGCGAGGGUGACGGUGCAUCAAGACAUGUUUAUAAGGCCUCUCCAGGUGUCACACAGGGCGACAGGACUCCAGGCAUGUCAGGUGACCUAGACACGUGACCAAAUUCAUUCUAUGUGCUAUAAUUGGCGAGCUGCGAGAGGAUGUUGAGUGAUUUAGAGCUUCACCGUCCCAAACCGGAAGUGCACAUCCUGGCCGGUUCGAAUCCCUUGUGGUGCAGCGUACUUUCAUCACGUGAUCCAGCUGUUGAAUGAAUACCUGACUCCUUGGAGAGGUGGUGUGGGUGGAGAGAGGUACUGACUCAGGUGACCCUGGGUGUGUACCUGGAAGGAUGAAGGAGGGUCCCGUUACCGCUGACCGUGCAGGCAUUCGUGACGUGGGGGGUGAGUCACGUGCUCAGUCUCCCUCUUCUACCAUCACUCAAGACAUCGAUCCUUUUGAUUUCAUCGACCGCCAAACGUUCGAGUCCCUGUGAAGUAACGGUCCUGUGACGUCAGCAGAAUGCUAUGUCGGCUGCAUCGUGCUGCAAGGCGGGUGUCGGGCUGCCGCUGAUCAGAUGAUGUCGUGUGCUGCCUUCUCCAUUUCCUGCAGCAUUAUCGUCACGCUUGUUGACGAUCGUCAUCCAUCACCUGGAGAACAACAUGGUCCACGAGUCACGAACUGUGCGUUGUUGUCACAUUGACCUGUGAAAUGGGGAGAUAACUCAUUCUUCAUAGCAACACUACUUCCCCUUGUUAGGGAAUGUCAACGUUUUUGUUUACACUUCCUUUUUUUUUUCUUUGUUUUUGUUUUGCUUGCUUCUCCCAUAACACGUGACGUGUUUUCACCCAGAAUUCCUCGAAUUCUGCUGAAGUGAGUGCGAGAGAGAGUGUGAGCACGCGAUAUAACAGAAUAACAUUCCUGCAUCGCACGACAUAGGAGCCUGCAUGUCUGUCCUGCCAUCUGAAAGACGAGAAAGGAAAAAGGAAGUAAUAGAAAAAAGUGGAAACAUGAAGAAAAAGAAAACAGAAUAUCUUGCAACAGCACUAGUGGAAAGUGUAGAGACAAGUCACGUGACCACCAAUGGCCGCAUCGUCGUGUCGCCAUCAGAGCCGCCUCCACCAUCCACAAAAUGUUGGAACUGGAGUAGGCGGUGAGAGUGGUGGAGGUAAAUGCAGAUGUAGAGGU